rnacentral:rRNA from 1 species
CUUGCUUCUCUUGAGAGCGGCGGACGGGUGAGUAAUGCCUAGGAAUCUGCCUGGUAGUGGGGGAUAACGUUCGGAAACGGACGCUAAUACCGCAUACGUCCUACGGGAGAAAGCAGGGGACCUUCGGGCCUUGCGCUAUCAGAUGAGCCUAGGUCGGAUUAGCUAGUUGGUGGGGUAAUGGCUCACCAAGGCGACGAUCCGUAACUGGUCUGAGAGGGUGAUCAGUCACACUGGAACUGAGACACGGUCCAGACUCCUACGGGAGGCAGCAGUGGGGAAUAUUGGACAAUGGGCGAAAGCCUGAUCCAGCCAUGCCGCGUGUGUGAAGAAGGUCUUCGGAUUGUAAAGCACUUUAAGUUGGGAGGAAGGGUUGUAGAUUAAUACUCUGCAAUUUUGACGUUACCGACAGAAUAAGCACCGGCUAACUCUGUGCCAGCAGCCGCGGUAAUACAGAGGGUGCAAGCGUUAAUCGGAAUUACUGGGCGUAAAGCGCGCGUAGGUGGUUUGUUAAGUUGGAUGUGAAAUCCCCGGGCUCAACCUGGGAACUGCAUUCAAAACUGACUGACUAGAGUAUGGUAGAGGGUGGUGGAAUUUCCUGUGUAGCGGUGAAAUGCGUAGAUAUAGGAAGGAACA